rnacentral:lncRNA from 1 species
AAACAAAUUAUGUGGAGUCGUGUGCCCGCUUUCCCUAAUUAAACAAGUGGUUCGUGAUCAAGACACAACAUUCGCUCCCUGCGACCCAACAAUCGCCGCACCGGUUGCCACCUAUGGCGCCAACGAUAUAGCAUGAUCCAAUUAUGGUCCCGAAUGGGAAAAGUUGUGUCAAUUAUUUGUGGCCAAGAUGAUGAGUAAUGCAAGCCUCGAUGCUUGCUAUGGUCUAAGAAACCAAGGGGUUAAAAAUACUAUUAAGAGACAUGUAUAACAACAACCCAAAAAAAAAAAAAGAAGGGAAUUGGCGUGUGUAAUUCAGAACCUGCUGUUGGACGGCACUGGCACGCUUGCAUUAGGAGACAAGGGGACUAAACUUGGAGCUGUGCUAAACUUUAAGCUUGCGGAGCUCAUGGCGCUAAUGGGAACACCAAAUAUUUUGCACAUCUUUCCGAUGCUUUCAUGGUUUAAUUCAAGGUAUAGAAAGGAGAACAAAGAAGAUCUCUCUAUGGUUCAAAUAUAUUAUAAGUUCUACUGCUGAAAGUGUAGAAACAAAGUCUGUUGUUAAAGGUGAAGAAGAAGCAGCAGGGAACAAUACUGAAGGAGGUAAUAAGGACUUCUUGCAGUUACUCUUGGAACUUCAAGAAAAUGAAGACAAUGCUUUCAUUAGCUUGAUCCAUUAAGGCCCUGCGCUUGGUGUUUGGAAUCACUAAGAAAAAGCGCCUCCGGUUGCCAUUCCAACACCAAGACCUCCCAAUUCAAACUACUGUUUACAUUCUAUUGGAAGAUUUUCUUUUCUUUUCUGAGCUAUUUAUAUGCAAAAUUUAUUUCAACGAUGAGAGAGCUUGCUUAAGCAAAUGAAACUGCCCAAUAAUUCAUUUUUUCUAAAAUAGGACUUCUAACAUUCAACAGACAUUUUCACAAGCACCUGGAAGGCACAAUCUAAACGUCUAAACCCAACCUCCAAAGGGCCAAAAAAAAAAAAAAAAAAAGAAAAUUAAAAAAGAGUUUCAAANNNNNNNNNNNNNNNNNNNNNNNNNNNNNNNNNNNNNNNNNNNNNNNNNNNNNNNNNNNNNNNNNNNNNNNNNNNNNNNNNNNNNNNNNNNNNNNNNNNNNNNNNNNNNNNNNNNNNNNNNNNNNNNNNNNNNNNNNNNNUAAGAUUUCCAAAAUGAUCCAUUACAUAUCAACAUCUCAAAAGCAAACCCUAACAACAAAAACAACCCAUUAAAAUAUUUACAUGUGUCAUAUUAUUAUUCAAGCCCUCUCGCCUCUGAUUCUCCUUGCAAGCUGGAUAUCUUUAGGCAUGAUGGUGACCCUCUUAGCGUGAAUAGCACAGAGAUUGGUGUCUUCAAAGAGACCCACCAGAUAAGCCUCGGCAGCUUCUUGAAGAGCCGCGACAGCGCUGCUUUGGAACCUCAGAUCGGUCUUAAAGUCCUGAGCGAUUUCCCUAACGAGCCUCUGGAACGGAAGCUUCCUUAUCAGAAGCUCAGUGCUCUUCUGGUACUUCCUGAUCUCUCUCAAAGCCACUGUUCCCGGCCUGAAACGGUGUGGUUUCUUCACUCCUCCCGUCGCCGGAGCAGACUUCCGAGCUGCCUUGGUGGCCAGCUGCUUACGUGGUGCCUUUCCUCCAGUGGACUUCCUUGCUGUCUGCUUCGUGCGGGCCAUUUUGUGAAAGUGUUUGUUUCUCCAGCACCAAGAGGGAAAACUUUAAAGUGAUGGCGAUGUGGCGAUGGAAGACAGGUUUGGGGGAUGGUGAUUUAUACAAGACAAUGAGGUGAGGCGUUUGUUUCUGUGAGUUCUGAAUCUGGACCGUUCUUUUUUUCUACUGGAGUAAUCUACGGUGAAUAUUGAUGAUCCGAAUAAAAUAGAAGCAACCAAUGGGAUUGUUUUCUGAAAGUAGAUUAGUGGCCGUAGAUUUUAAUAGAAGAUGGACGGUUAUAAAUCUUUAAUAGGUGAGUGGUGUGGAUUGGGAUCCCCGUGCUUCCAGUCAACUGACCGAUAAAGAUUUAGCUUGAAGGGGGAGAUGGAGAACUUGUAAUUUGAUUACGAGUUCACCUGCAAAUCAUAGCUUGAAGAGUAAAUUUUAUCCAAAAUUCAGUUUCAAUCUAACCUAAUCGCGUUUCGAUCAAUCCCAUAAUCCCAUCUGGUAAAGUAAAUAUAAUUUUAAGGGUUGUGAUUAUUUCAUUAUUAUUGCUAGAAAGAUACGAGGGUCUGUAUUUCACAGCCUCCACAAUGAAAUUAUUAAACUUUUUUAACUUUUUAAUUAUUUGAUGAUGUCCACGCCGUGGAUAGUUUGUUUUAAUAGAAACAAGAGUGAUGGACUACCAAAACAUAACAAUGUUUUUAAAGAUUUGGAUAUUCAUCAUAUUUGUCAAAAUUGGUUGGAGAUAAAAUAGUUGUACCUUAAAUUAUUUCCUAACUAUUCACUUGCAAGCAAGCAAUUUCGCAUUCUCUAUAUCAAUACUUUGGAGCUUGUACCUCUUGUGCCAACUAGAACAAAAAAAUUGCAAGAAGUAUUUGUGUGGCUCGUGUGCAUUAUUUUAGUAUAGUGAGGUGGUAUGUUCAGUCAAGAAAGAUAGGACAUUUUAAUAAGUUUAGUAGAUCUUAUUGUGUGACCCACUACAACUAUCAAAAUAAAAUUCUUAUGAAUCCGAUGCACUACUUUAGAUAAAUCACGCUCAACUCACAUAAAUUUUAAUUUUCUCUAAAAAAAACAUUUAAAUAUAAAUUUUACUCUUGAUAAAAGUCAAUCAACGGUCUUGCGGUGGACUAAGCUCAAAUUAAUGCCAAGUGUUAGAGCUAUCAAAAUCAAGAGAGACUAUUGUUUGCGUCUUCAGAAAAUAUGUAUAUGUUUAGACACAUGAAGAAGAAAUCACUCGAUGCAUAAAUUAAGCGAGAAAGAGUCUUUGAUAAAGAAAGCAAUCUUUUGUACUUGGCAAAUAUUGAAGGAGUCUGGCAUUUUUUUUUUUUAACCUCAGAUCGGUCUUAAAGUCCUGAGCGAUUUCCCUAACGAGCCUCUGGAACGGAAGCUUCCUUAUCAGAAGCUCAGUGCUCUUCUGGUACUUCCUGAUCUCUCUCAAAGCCACUGUUCCCGGCCUGAAACGGUGUGGUUUCUUCACUCCUCCCGUCGCCGGAGCAGACUUCCGAGCUGCCUUGGUGGCCAGCUGCUUACGUGGUGCCUUUCCUCCAGUGGACUUCCUUGCUGUCUGCUUCGUGCGGGCCAUUUUGUGAAAGUGUUUGUUUCUCCAGCACCAAGAGGGAAAACUUUAAAGUGAUGGCGAUGUGGCGAUGGAAGACAGGUUUGGGGGAUGGUGAUUUAUACAAGACAAUGAGGUGAGGCGUUUGUUUCUGUGAGUUCUGAAUCUGGACCGUUCUUUUUUUCUACUGGAGUAAUCUACGGUGAAUAUUGAUGAUCCGAAUAAAAUAGAAGCAACCAAUGGGAUUGUUUUCUGAAAGUAGAUUAGUGGCCGUAGAUUUUAAUAGAAGAUGGACGGUUAUAAAUCUUUAAUAGGUGAGUGGUGUGGAUUGGGAUCCCCGUGCUUCCAGUCAACUGACCGAUAAAGAUUUAGCUUGAAGGGGGAGAUGGAGAACUUGUAAUUUGAUUACGAGUUCACCUGCAAAUCAUAGCUUGAAGAGUAAAUUUUAUCCAAAAUUCAGUUUCAAUCUAACCUAAUCGCGUUUCGAUCAAUCCCAUAAUCCCAUCUGGUAAAGUAAAUAUAAUUUUAAGGGUUGUGAUUAUUUCAUUAUUAUUGCUAGAAAGAUACGAGGGUCUGUAUUUCACAGCCUCCACAAUGAAAUUAUUAAACUUUUUUAACUUUUUAAUUAUUUGAUGAUGUCCACGCCGUGGAUAGUUUGUUUUAAUAGAAACAAGAGUGAUGGACUACCAAAACAUAACAAUGUUUUUAAAGAUUUGGAUAUUCAUCAUAUUUGUCAAAAUUGGUUGGAGAUAAAAUAGUUGUACCUUAAAUUAUUUCCUAACUAUUCACUUGCAAGCAAGCAAUUUCGCAUUCUCUAUAUCAAUACUUUGGAGCUUGUACCUCUUGUGCCAACUAGAACAAAAAAAUUGCAAGAAGUAUUUGUGUGGCUCGUGUGCAUUAUUUUAGUAUAGUGAGGUGGUAUGUUCAGUCAAGAAAGAUAGGACAUUUUAAUAAGUUUAGUAGAUCUUAUUGUGUGACCCACUACAACUAUCAAAAUAAAAUUCUUAUGAAUCCGAUGCACUACUUUAGAUAAAUCACGCUCAACUCACAUAAAUUUUAAUUUUCUCUAAAAAAAACAUUUAAAUAUAAAUUUUACUCUUGAUAAAAGUCAAUCAACGGUCUUGCGGUGGACUAAGCUCAAAUUAAUGCCAAGUGUUAGAGCUAUCAAAAUCAAGAGAGACUAUUGUUUGCGUCUUCAGAAAAUAUGUAUAUGUUUAGACACAUGAAGAAGAAAUCACUCGAUGCAUAAAUUAAGCGAGAAAGAGUCUUUGAUAAAGAAAGCAAUCUUUUGUACUUGGCAAAUAUUGAAGGAGUCUGGCAUUUUUUUUUUUUUUUUUGAAUGGGUUCGGGUUGGAUCGGGUCGGGAUUGAAACCUGAUCGGAUUGAAAUUUACAAACCCGAUCGGGUUGUGAUCGGUUCGGGUCAAACCCGACCCGAUCCGAAUACCCCAUCGGGUUCCCAAAAAAAAAAUUUUGAUUUCUGGCAUGUGUCUGUACUCCUUAUUGAGCAUAUUUCCCUCUCCAUUCUCCAACAGCAAUCGAAUCACACCAAUAACCAAUCCAAAAAGUUAGCAGCCAUUCUGUCAAAAUUCUUCUCAGAGACAUUUUAAAUUUUAAUAAAGAAAAUAAAGUUGCCUUAGAUGGCAUUUUGCAAGUGCAAUGAUGACUGAAGCAAUCCUCACCCUUUUCUGUUUUUGUCCAAUUUAAUCAUUCAAAAGAGAUCUUAUCAUCUACCCAACGCCAAGCAAUUGAUAAAUUUCGAGCAUUUGACAAAUUGUUUAAGAACAGAACAAUUUCUUUUUGGAGGAAAAGAAAAAAAAAAAAGGGGAGAGACCGAGAGAGAAUGAGAAAGAAACAAAGAAAGAAGUCACGGGAAACAAAUUUGAAUUUGUCAUGCUGCUGCACAGCACACACACAGAACACUAGAACAGAAGUCACAAGCUGCCAGCCACUGAGCCACACACACAUAGUCACAUACGCUGCUGCACACAUAGAACUAUAGAAGCCACAAGUUGCACACUGCACAGCACACACAAGUCACAAGCUGCACAGCACACACACUGACACUGUGACACACACGCUGCAAGUGAACAGCACACACAAGUCACAAACUGCACAGCACACACACUGACACUAUGACACACACGCUGCAAGUGCACAACACACACACACACACACACUAUAAGUGCACAACACACACACACGCUGCACUCAACAAUUCACUCGCAAAGACGCAAACCUAACACACACACACGCUGCCUGUCAGCCACAACUUCACAAAUCACAAACACAAACACAAACAACUAAUGAUAUUAAAAAAUUGCAUGAUAUUAAAUUAUAGUAAAAUUUGGAUAGAGAAUCAUAGUCCUUAGUGGAAAUUAAAGCGAUGCCCUCUAGGCUUCAAACGUGUUGCAAUAGUCUAAGCCGAUUGUUCCUCUCACACACUAU